rnacentral:rRNA from 1 species
UACAGAGGGUGCAAGCGUUGUUCGGAAUUAUUGGGCGUAAAGCGCGUGUAGGCGGCUUUGCAAGUCGGAUGUGAAAGCCCUCGGCUCAACCGAGGAACUGCGUGUGAUACUGGCGGGCUUGAAUUCGGGAGAGGGAUGUGGAAUUCCAGGUGUAGCGGUGAAAUGCGUAGAUAUCUGGAGGAACACCGGUGGCGAAGGCGGCAAUCUGGACCGAGAUUGACGCUGAGGCGCGAAAGCUAGGGGAGCA